rnacentral:rRNA from 1 species
GUCUCAAAGAUUAAGCCAUGCAUGUCUAAGUAUAAGCAAUCUAUACCGUGAAACUGUGAAUGGCUCAUUAAAUCAGUUAUCGUUUAUUUGAUAGUACCUUACUACUUGGAUAACCGUGGUAAUUCUAGAGCUAAUACAUGCUAAAAACCCUCGACUUCGGAAGGGGUGUAUUUAUUAGAUAAAAAACCAAUGC